ensembl:misc_RNA
CUUGGUAAUACGGAUGGGCUCCUUAUUUCCCCACUCUUUGGAGGUCAUCUUCCUCUCCACUUCUGGAUAAC